GCGGGGAUAGCUCAACGGUAGAGCUGCGGGUUUCCAACCUGCUGAUGGGGGUUCAAUUCCCUCUCCCCGCUCCA
rnacentral:tRNA from 1 species